CCUACGGGUGGCAGCAGUGAGGAAUAUUGGUCAAUGGACGAGAGUCUGAACCAGCCAAGUAGCGUGCAGGAUGACUGCCCUAUGGGUCGUAAACUUCUUUUAUACAGGAAUAACACCAUGCACGUGUGCCUUUUUGCAUGUACUUUAUGAAUAAGGAUCGGCUAACUCCGUGCCAGCCGCCGCGGUAAUACGGAGGAUCCGGGCGUUAUCCGGAUUUAUUGGGGUUAAAGGGAGCGUAGAUGGGUUGUUAAGUCAGUUGUGAAAGUUUGCGGCUCAACCGUAGAAUUGCAAUUGAUACUGGCAGUCUUGAGUACAGUUGAGGUAGGCGGAAUUCGUGGUGUAGCGGUGAAAUGCUUAGAUAUCACGAAGAACCCCGAUUGCGAAGGCAGCUUACUAAACUGUGACUGACACUGAUGCUCGAAAGUGUGGGUAUCAAACAGGAUUAGAUACCCCAGUAGUC
rnacentral:rRNA from 1 species